GAGGUAGAACUGCUGAACCACUUUCCAGUCAGUUCCUCUCAGAGCAAAAUCAGGAGACAAACAUGACACUUUGGCUUCAAUUUGUUUUUGUUUCAGCAAUUUGGGGAGGUAAUUUUAUUCCCGCUUUAAACAAAGAUAACUAGUAUAAUCCAGGACUUCAUAUUUAGCAGAUCCUUUAAAUAUGGCUUUCCUCAUUUUCUAGGUGUCCAAUCAGCAGUCCAGCUGGUAGAGUCUGGAGGGGAUGUCAAAAGACCUGGAGAGUCCCUCCGUCUCUCCUGUCGAGCUUCUGGCUUCGACUUCAGCAGCUACUGGAUGGCCUGGGUGCGACAGGCUCCUGGAAAAGGACUGGAAUGGGUGGCAUGGAUACGCUAUGAUAGUAGAGAAAUAUACUAUGACAACUCUGUGAAAGGGCGCUUCACCGUCUCCAGAGACAACCCUUCAAACAUGCUGUAUCUACAAAUGAACACCUUGAAAUCAGAGGACACUGCUGUUUAUUACUGUGCAAGAGACACAG